CACUCAUCCGGGUCAGUUUUAACAGCUUAUAUGUAUAGCGAAAUAGCUCUGAGCAUCUUUUUGGGUUUGCCAUAUCAGAUCAGCAUAGGGUGUGACAUGACAAUAUUGCCGUCACUGGGGUUAGCUAGAGUUGCUCUUCCACACUACUACGCUGCUUUAGCAUAAUCCCAUCUAACCUGUCGUAUAAUUAAAUACAACUAUACUACAUAAAUAAUGUUACUUUUAACCAUCAACACCAUAUCACGAAACUUUCAACAAAAUUAAUUAUACAUAUUACAUGUCAGUGGCGAAGCCACAUAUAAAACUUUGUGGGCUCAAUCGACCUCACCGGAAAAAAAAAUUUAUUUUAUAAUGUAAGGUAAAUUUUAAAAAUUUCAAGUAUUAUAUAUAAAUUUAUCCCACUAAAAUUUUAUAAAGUUUC
rnacentral:lncRNA from 1 species